AAUUAAUCAUAUGGCCCCAACCUAAACCGCAAGGAGGGGGUGGGAAAUGUGAGGGAGCCCACAGAAUAUUUGGGGAGCGUUACCUCUCUCUGCAGCAGCUUCUCCUGAGAUCUUUUUUCUAUUACAGUGGCCAUUUAACAACAAUUUACAGGCUUCUUUGAUGACGUCUGUCUCUCUUGAUAGGCUGUGAAGCCCAGGAGGCCAGAAGCUGUGUGUGUGUUGGCUUAUCAUUGAUCUUCAGAGUACUUGUAUGCAGUGGGUGCUCACUAAAUCACCAAAUGAAUAAAUUGAGUAACCGGUGGGCUCAGCAAUCGAGAGUUCAUCCCAGGAGACACAGAAAGACCUACAGCUAGAGCAUGCAGCUCUGUACCGGGGCUUUGGGGAGAAAAAAAAGAAAAGAAAAAGAAGUGCAGCUCAUUUGGACAGAGAAGAGCCCGAAGAUCUGACAGGAGACGCGGGGUGGAUUUCCCCAGUAGCUUCUAGCUCCCUAAAUCAGCUUUUAUUAAGCCACUUGCAAGGGCUGUGGUCCACCCGGGCUGCCCCGGGGCAAGAAGGAGAGAAGACAGGCGCUGUGGUGGAGGAGAGGAAGGAUGCAGAGCCAUCGCCAACACCCACUCCUUCCCCUCCGACCCACCGCCGCCAAAAAUAAUGUAGCAACAGCAGAAUGAGCGCCUAUAAUUAGGCGCCAUGAAGAGGGGAAACAGUCUCAAAAAGGCAGUUGUUUUUGCUCUGUUAGCAGUCCUGGUAACUUAAAGGGGAGGACCGGUUUUCCGGGACAAGUGGCUUAGAAACUGGUUUCUGAGAACAGCAGGUCUGAACAAUCCUUUCUGGAAGCAGCAGGACUAAGCCACAGCGGCUGGCAGCAUCCCCGGGCUCUCUUCCACUGUAGCAGAAUCUCGAGAAGGCUGGAUUCUAGCCAAGGCUGCUGCUUGAGUGUGGGCCUGGUGCCUCUGUCCUGUUUCCUGGAUGGCCCCGACCCCUGGAUCCAUCUUCUUCUUCCAGAAGCUAUCCCCUCCCAGCUCCCAAGAAUGAUAUCAUUCACCAGGAAUCAAGACUCAAUCCUCCACCCUAAAACCCCGGGCAGAAAGGAUCUGGCUACACCUGUGGAAUUGCAGGGCCCAGAUCCAGUCUUGGUGGCCCUAAUCAGGAUCACCAUAAUAACAGAACAUUACUCUCUUCUGAUCAUUUUCAACUCAUGAAGCCGACUCAGAGGAGCCAGUCCAUUCGUAAAGCUGGACCUUCCGAGGAUGAACAGUUUAGGUGUGGGCCUGUGGGCUAGCAGAGAAGACCUUUGGACAUGCUUGGACCAGUCCAGGUACUUGGUGAUACUCUGAGUCCUGAGCCACCCACAAGGAUUCUGAGGACUGAAGGGGUGGUCUUCUAAAGCCUCCUGGCCAUGGGUGAAGCCCUGCUUGAUGGUGUCCUGACCCACAGUUAUUUCCUGGACACUGUCUCUGUGACACGUGUGGGCCAGUGCCCCCUCCCCCAAAUAUAUAUUCAAAAUACUUGAGGUUGACUUGACCAGGUUUCUGCAGUCAAGCAGAAUAAUAAUUCUUCAAGCAUAAUUAAAAUUCUCUGGUUAUCCUAGGUAUUCAAAAAGUCACUUUUCCAUCACCACCUUAUCAGUGGACUUCCUCAAAAUAAAAGGAAUACUCUUUGCA
rnacentral:lncRNA from 1 species